rnacentral:rRNA from 1 species
UCCCAAAAAUAAACGUCCCAGUUCGGAUUGCAGUCUGCAACUCGAGUGCAUGAAGCUGGAAUCGCUAGUAAUCGCGAAUCAGAAUGUCGCGGUGAAUACGUUCCCGGGUCUUGUACACACCGUCCGUCACACCAUGGGAGUCGGGAAUGCCCGAAGCCGGUGAGCUAACUUAAAGAGGCAGCAGUCGAAGGUAGAGCCAAUGAUUGGGGUGAAGUCGUAACAAGGUAUC